rnacentral:lncRNA from 1 species
AAUCCGCCAUUAUGGAAGUCAUGUCGGGAGCCACAGAGGAUUGCUGCUUACAGCAGGUGCUGUCGAGAUGUGAAACUUCAGCUAGAAGACGAGGCAGCUGAAUACCAUACAGAGAAAUGUCCCUGGGGCAUGGCAGCUCAUCUCUUACCUUUUCCCACCUGUCAGCUCCUGAGGCCAGAAGAAGAUAUCGGAGCUCUUGGAACCGGAGUUGCUG